GUCGAGGAUUUUUCACAAUGGGCGAAAGCCUGAUGGAGCGACGCCGCGUGGGGGAUGAAUGGCUUCGGCCCGUAAACCCCUGUCAUUUGCGAGCAAAGCCGUCGGCCUAAUACGCUGACGGUUGAUAGUAGCGAAAGAGGAAGGGACGGCUAACUCUGUGCCAGCAGCCGCGGUAAUACAGAGGUCCCAAGCGUUGUUCGGAUUCACUGGGCAUAAAGGGUGCGUAGGUGGCAGGGUAAGUUCGGUGUGAAAUCCCCGAGCUCAACUCGGGAAUGGCAUUGAAUACUAUCCUGCUGGAGGAUCGGAGGGGAGACUGGAAUUCUCGGUGUAGCAGUGAAAUGCGUAGAUAUCGAGAGGAACACCAGUGGCGAAGGCGAGUCUCUGGACGAUUCCUGACACUGAGGCACGAAAGCUAGGGGAGCAAACAGGAUUAGAUACCCCAGUAGUCC
rnacentral:rRNA from 1 species